UGAGGAAUAUUGGUCAAUGGACGGAAGUCUGAACCAGCCAUGCCGCGUGAAGGAUGAAGGCGUUCUGCGUUGUAAACUUCUUUUAUCUGGGAAGAAUCCACAGAUUUCUAUUUGUGUUGACGGUACCAGAUGAAUAAGCACCGGCUAACUCCGUGCCAGCAGCCGCGGUAAUACGGAGGGUGCGAGCGUUAUCCGGAUUUACUGGGUUUAAAGGGUGCGUAGGCGGGCUAUUAAGUCAGAGGUGAAAUCUCCGGGCUCAACCUGGAAACUGCCUUUGAUACUAUUAGCCUUGAAUUAUGUUGAGGUUGGCGGAAUAUAACAUGUAGCGGUGAAAUGCUUAGAUAUGUUAUGGAACACCGAUUGCGAAGGCAGCUGGCUAAACAUAUAUUGACGCUGAUGCACGAAAGCGUGGGUAGCGAACA
rnacentral:rRNA from 1 species